CCUACGGUGGGCAGCAGUGAGGAAUAUUGGUCAAUGGUCGGGAGACUGAACCAGCCAAGCCGCGUGAGGGAUGAAGGUACAGAGUAUCGUAAACCUCUUUUGUCAGGGAACAAAGGCGGGGACGUGUCCCCGGCUGAGUGUACCUGACGAACAAGCAUCGGCUAACUCCGUGCCAGCAGCCGCGGUAAUACGGAGGGUGCGAGCGUUAUCCGGAUUAAUUGGGUUUAAAGGGUGCGCAGGCGGUCUGUUAAGUAAGCGGUCAAAGCCCGGGGCUCAACCCCGGCCCGCCGUUGAAACUGGCAGUCUCGAGUUGGAGAGAAGUAUGCGGAAGGCGCGGUGUAGCGGUGAAAUGCAUAGAUAUCGCGCAGAACUCCGAUUGCGAAGGCAGCAUGCCGGCUCCACACUGACGCUGAGGCACGAAAGCGUGGGUAUCGAACAGGAUUAGAUACCCCAGUAGUC
rnacentral:rRNA from 1 species